UACAGAGGUCCCGAGCGUUGUUCGGAUUCACUGGGCGUAAAGGGUGCGUAGGUGGUGAGGUAAGUCGGAUGUGAAAUCUCCAAGCUCAACUUGGAAACUGCAUUGGAAACUACCUUGCUAGAGGAUUGAGGGGGGAUUGGAAUACUUGGUGUAGCAGUGAAAUGCGUAGAGAUCGAGUGGAACACCAGCGGCGAAGGCGACCUGA
rnacentral:rRNA from 1 species